UCAGGCCUAAACACAUGCAAGUCGAACGGCAGCACGGGAGCAAUCCUGGUGGCGAGUGGUGAACGGGUGAGUAAUACAUCGGAACGUGCCCAGUCGUGGGGGAUAACUACUCGAAAGAGUGGCUAAUACCGCAUACGACCUGAGGGUGAAAGCGGGGGACCGCAAGGCCUCGCGCGAUUGGAGCGGCCGAUGUCAGAUUAGCUAGUUGGUGGGGUAAAGGCCCACCAAGGCGACGAUCUGUAGCUGGUCUGAGAGGACGACCAGCCACACUGGGACUGAGACACGGCCCAGACUCCUACGGGGGGCAGCAGUGGGGAAUUUUGGACAAUGGGGGCAACCCUGAUCCAGCCAUGCCGCGGGCGGGAAGAAGGCCUUCGGGUUGUAAACCGCUUUUGUCAGGGAAGAAACGCGCUGAGCUAAUAUCUCGGCGUAAUGAC
rnacentral:rRNA from 1 species